GACGAACGCUGGCGGCGUGCUUAACACAUGCAAGUCGAACGGAAAGGCCCUGCUUGCAGGGUACUCGAGUGGCGAACGGGUGAGUAACACGUGGGUGAUCUGCCCUGCACUUCGGGAUAAGCCUGGGAAACUGGGUCUAAUACCGGAUAGGAGCCAUUUUUAGUGUGAUGGUUGGAAAGUAUUUUCGGUGUAGGAUGAGCUCGCGGCCUAUCAGCUUGUUGGUGGGGUAAUGGCCUACCAAGGCGGCGACGGGUAGCCGGCCUGAGAGGGUGGACGGCCACAUUGGGACUGAGAUACGGCCCAGACUCCUACGGGAGGCAGCAGUGGGGAAUAUUGCACAAUGGGCGCAAGCCUGAUGCAGCGACGCCGCGUGGGGGAUGACGGCCUUCGGGUUGUAAACUCCUUUCGCUAGGGACGAAGCUUUUUGUGACGGUACCUAGAUAAGAAGCACCGGCUAACUACGU
rnacentral:rRNA from 1 species